UUUGUGCAAUGGGAAUCAGAUCGUGAUAAGAUCACGAUAAUGAGAUCGAUUCACCUUUAAACACAUAUCCUAAAUAAUCCAGGUCAUAGGUUACUCGAGAGGGACAUCGUGAUAACCAGACAGACUGGUGUGCUGUAUACCCAUCCAUAUGAUGGAUGCAGUUAGUCUCGUAGCUGCUCGUGUAGGGAUACUAGGGAUACAAUACAGGUGCUCAUUGGAGAAUGAGUUCACUGAUUGAUCCGCUUACGGAAUGCUGGAUGGUUGAUGAUGCCUUAUUGUCAGACAGCGAUUCCGUUGUCCUAGUGGU
rnacentral:lncRNA from 1 species